AGAAGAUCAGCCUGGAAUAUAUUGAAUAGCCGAAAAUCAUGUUGAAUAAAUACAAUGAUGUUAACUUGUAACCUACACGGAACUGUGAAAUCUAAGAAAAUAUCAAUUGUAUAAAUUUUCUAAAUAUUCUGACUGUUUUAAAUAGUCUGUAAGUAAAAAAUCCAAAAAUUCAAAAAUUUCAAUGGAAUUCACAUGUGGAAUUUAUUUUAUUUUCCUAGAAAAAAUAUUUGAUUACAAUCAUUUUUGUUGAUAAUUUUUGGAAGACUUCGUAUGAAAUUUCAUAUGCUUUUUGAAAAAG
ensembl:ncRNA Y17G9A.89 ncRNA